UACGUAGGGGGCUAGCGUUGUCCGGAAUCAUUGGGCGUAAAGAGCGUGUAGGCGGCCCGGUAAGUCCGCUGUGAAAGUCGGGGGCUCAACCCUCGAAUGCCGGUGGAUACUGUCGGGCUAGAGUGCGGAAGAGGCGAGUGGAAUUCCUGGUGUAGCGGUGGAAUGCGCAGAUAUCAGGAGGAACACCAAUAGCGAAGGCAGCUCGCUGGGACGUUACUGACACUAAGGCGCGAAAGCGUGGGGAGCGAACAGG
rnacentral:rRNA from 1 species